rnacentral:rRNA from 1 species
GACGAACGCUGGCGGCGUGCCUAAUACAUGCAAGUAGAACGCAGUUGCGAAUGGGUGAGUAACGCGUAGGUAACUGCCUGGUAGCGGGGGGUAACUAUUGGAAACGCUAGCUAAUACCGCAUACUACCAGAUGGCCCUGCUUUGGAUUAGCUAGUAGGGGAGGUAACGGCUCACCAAGGCAACGAGACAUAGCCGACCUGAGAGGGUGAACGGCCAUACUGGGACUGAGACACGGCCCAGACUCCUACGGGAGGCAGCAGUAGGGAAGCUUCGGCAAUGGGGGGAACCCUGACCGAGCAACGCCGCGUGUGUGAAGAAGGUGUUCGGAUCGUAAAGCACUGUUGUUAAGGAAGCGGUAGUUAAGAAGAAGUGACGGCUAAAUACGUGCCAGCAGCCGCGGUAAUAC